GGACAGACGAUGGACAGACGGACGGACAGACGAUGGAUGGAUGGAUGGCUGGAUAGAUGGAUGGAUGGACUGAUGGACAGACGAUGGAUGGAUGGAUGGAUGGAUGGAUGGAUGGAUGGACGGACAGACAAUGAUGGAUGGAUGGAUGGAUGGACAGACGGGCGGAUGGACAAUGGAUGGAUGGGGACAGACGGAUGGACAGACGAUGGACGGAUGGACUGACGGAUGGGUGGAUGAUGGAUGGACGAUGGACGGACUCUGUCAGCUCCUCUUUCCUCUGCCUUUUUGUGUUUUGUUUUGUUUUGUUUUUUUCAGCCAAAUAAAGUUUUUAUUUUCUGGGCAGCUUUUUAGUGAAUAUAUUAAAAAGGUGGUAUCAUCUUUGGCGAUGGUGUGGUUGGUACGGUUGCUAUGGGAUGUCCUGUCAAUAAUCUUUGGCCAUAACUUUUAACUGCAGCACUAAAAAACAGAGACCCUUAAAUUACUGUUAUGUCACACCUUUUUAGCAUCUUCCUCUCUCUCCUUUUAAAACACUGUCUCUUUUAUCUUGCAGUAAUUCCCCACAGCACACAUAAAGGUGGAACCAUACUGAUCGGGUCUCCUAAAUUUCUGAAGCUUCUGGAGCUCGAAGUGUGACACAGGCGCUCACUUGAUGAGGUGAGUGAAUUCAUUUGGCGAGCUGCAGCACGGUUCUGGAAACCUGGUGCGGAGGUAAGCAGCUCGCCCCGCGCCGCAGAUGCCUUUAGUUUUCUUAUGGAAUACUAAUUACGUUUGCAUAAUUGGUUUUAGUCAUUUAAAUGGGGGAGCUUGUUAAAUCUUUUCCCCCUGUUUUCACCUACAGCUAAAU
ensembl:lncRNA